rnacentral:pre_miRNA from 1 species
UGGGCGUUAGUUUUGAACGGGUUUUGGUGUUUGUCCUUUGUGAUUUCAAUUGAAACCGUCCAAAACUGAGGCUUAC